GCCAUAGCUCAGUGGUAGAGCAUCUGCUUUGCAAGCAGAAGGUUCCAGGUUCAAUCCCCGGCAUCUCCA